GAGUUUGAUCAUGGCUCAGGACGAACGCUGGCGGUGUGCUUAACACAUGCAAGUCGAACGGUAAGGCCCUUUCGGGGGUACACGAGUGGCGAACGGGUGAGUAACACGUGAGUAACCUGCCCUCAUCUCUGGGAUAACAGUCGGAAACGGUUGCUAAUACUGGAUAUGAGCCUGCAAGGCAUCUUGUGGGUUGGAAAGAUUUUUUGGUUGGGGAUGGACUCGCGGCCUAUCAGCUUGUUGGUGAGGUAGUGGCUCACCAAGGCUUCGACGGGUAGCCGGCCUGAGAGGGCGACCGGCCACAUUGGGACUGAGAUACGGCCCAAACUCCUACGGGAGGCAGCAGUGGGGAAUAUUGCACAAUGGACGGAAGUCUGAUGCAGCAACGCCGCGUGCGGGAUGACGGCCUUCGGGUUGUAAACCGCUUUCAAUUGUGACGAAGCUUUUUGUGACGGUAGCAGUAGAAGAAGCACCGGCUAACUACGUGCCAGCAGCCGCGGUGAUACGUAGGGUGCGAGCGUUGUCCGGAUUUAUUGGGCGUAAAGAGCUUGUAGGUGGUUUGUCGCGUCGGGAGUGAAAACUCAGGGCUUAACUCUGAGCUUGCUUUCGAUACGGGCUGACUUGAGGGAGGUAGGGGAGAAUGGAAUUCCUGGUGGAGCGGUGGAAUGCGCAGAUAUCAGGAGGAACACCGGUGGCGAAGGCGGUUCUUUGGACCUUUCCUGACGCUGAGAAGCGAAAGCGUGGGGAGCGAACAGGCUUAGAUACCCUGGUAGUCCACGCUGUAAACGGUGGGUACUAGGUGUGGGGGACAUUCCACGUUCUCCGUGCCGUAGCUAACGCAUUAAGUACCCCGCCUGGGGAGUACGGCCGCAAGGCUAAAACUCAAAGGAAUUGACGGGGCCCCGCACAAGCGGCGGAGCAUGCGGAUUAAUUCGAUGCAACGCGAAGAACCUUACCUGGGUUUGACAUAUGCCGGAAGCGUUCAGAGAUGGGCGUGCCUUUUUGGUCGGUUUACAGGUGGUGCAUGGCUGUCGUCAGCUCGUGUCGUGAGAUGUUGGGUUAAGUCCCGCAACGAGCGCAACCCUCGUCCAAUGUUGCCAGCGGGUUAUGCCGGGGACUCAUUGGAGACCGCCGGGGUCAACUCGGAGGAAGGUGGGGAUGACGUCAAGUCAUCAUGCCCCUUAUGUCCAGGGCUUCACGCAUGCUACAAUGGCCGGUACAGUGAGCUGCGAGCCUGUGAGGGUGAGCGAAUCUCUAAAAGCCGGUCUCAGUUCGGAUUGGGGUCUGCAACUCGACCCCAUGAAGUCGGAGCCGCUAGUAAUCGCAGAUCAGCAACGCUGCGGUGAAUACGUUCCCGGGGCUUGCACACACCGCCCGUC
rnacentral:rRNA from 1 species